AAGCCGCGCUUUCUGCUCCGGUGUGCCAAGCGUCGCCGCCAGCAGGCAGGCUUGCGGCUCCAGGCUAAUACGCAUCACCAGAAAAUGAUCCACCACCUGAUGAAAAUUUUCUUCCGUCAUCCACCAGGUCAGCAGCUCUUGAUCCAGAAAGUUCCAGUUUCCCUGCGGCAUCACCCGCGUACCAAUGCGCGGACGGGGUAGCACCAUACCUUUAGCCGUCAACGUUUUCACCGCUUCGCGAACUGCCGUUCGACUUACGCCGUACUGCUCGCCCAGUUCUAUUUCGCCGGGAAGAAUCGUACCGGGGGCGUAGUCACCCUUUAAUAUCCGCUGCGCCAGCUUUUCAGCCAGAACAUAGGAUAGAUUUUUCUGUGCGGCUAAUUGUUGUGCGCUUAAAGGCAUGAAUGUUCUUCCUUUCUCUUUCGUUUGGUUAUUAGUAUGCCACCUGGAAGUGUGAUUGCAGUUGCAAUAACGGCAAUUUGCUUAUUUUAUGGCACGUUAAGCCCGCUGUUGAUGAAAAAAGAGACACUUAGAAAAUUAUUUUAAAUUUCCUCUUGUCAGGCAGAAAUAACUCCCUAUAAUGCGCCAC
rnacentral:rRNA from 1 species